rnacentral:rRNA from 1 species
AUUGAACGCUGGCGGAAUGCUUUACACAUGCAAGUCGAACGGCAGCACGGACUUCGGUCUGGUGGCGAGUGGCGAACGGGUGAGUAAUGUAUCGGAACGUGCCCAGUCGUGGGGGAUAACGUAGUGAAAAUUACGCUAAUACCGCAUACGAUCUAUGGAUGAAAGCGGGGGAUCGCAAGACCUCGCCCGAUUGGAGCGGCCGAUAUCAGAUUAGGUAGUUGGUGGGGUAAAGGCCCACCAAGCCAACGAUCUGUAGCUGGUCUGAGAGGACGACCAGCCACACUGGAACUGAGACACGGUCCAGACUCCUACGGGAGGCAGCAGUGGGGAAUUUUGGACAAUGGGCGAAAGCCUGAUUCAGCCAUUCCGCGUGCAGGAUGAAGGCCCUCGGGUUGUAAACUGCUUUUGUACAGAACGAAAAGGUUUCUACUAAUACUAGGAGCUCAUGACGGUACUGUAAGAAUAAGCACCGGCUAACUACGCGCCAGCAGCCGCGGUAA